GAUGAACGCUAGCUACAGGCUUAACACAUGCAAGUCGAGGGACCGGCGCACGGGUGCGUAACACGUAUCCAACCUGCCCUUUACUCGGAGAUAGCCUUUCGAAAGAAAGAUUAAUACCCGAUAUAAAGGAUGGGGAUGCGUUCCAUUAGGUUGUUGGUGAGGUAACGGUUCACCAAGCCUUCGAUGGAUAGGGGUUCUGAGAGGAAGGUACACCACAUUGGAACUGGGACACUGGCCAAACUCCUACGUGAGACAGCAGUGAGGAAUAUUGGUCAAGGGGCGGUAGCCUGAACCAGCCAAGUAGCGUGAAGGAUGAAGGCUUAUGGGUCGUAAACUUCUUUUAUAUAAGAAUAUGUAUUAUAUGAAUAAGGAUCGGCUAACUCCGUGCCAGCAGCCGCGGUAAUUC
rnacentral:rRNA from 1 species